rnacentral:rRNA from 1 species
AUUGAACGCUGGCGGCAUGCCUUACACAUGCAAGUCGAACGGUAACAGGUCUUCGGAUGCUGACGAGUGGCGAACGGGUGAGUAAUACAUCGGAACGUGCCUAGUAGUGGGGGAUAACUACUCGAAAGAGUGGCUAAUACCGCAUGAGAUCUACGGAUGAAAGCAGGGGAUCGAAAGACCUUGUGCUACUAGAGCGGCCGAUGGCAGAUUAGGUAGUUGGUGGGAUAAAAGCUUACCAAGCCGACGAUCUGUAGCUGGGCUGAGAGGACGAUCAGCCACACUGGGACGGAGACACGGCCCAGACUCCUACGGGAGGCAGCAGUGGGGAAUUUUGGACAAUGGGCGAAAGCCUGAUCCAGCAAUGCCGCGUGCAGGAUGAAGGCCUUCGGGUUGUAAACUGCUUUUGUACGGAACGAAAAGCCCUGGGUUAAUACCCUGGGGUCAUGACGGUACCGUAAGAAUAAGCACCGGCUAACUACGUGCCAGCAGCCGCCGUAACAC